CUCUCCCUAAAACUUGCUAUCCUACCAAUCCCAUCCUAUCCUACGGAACUAGUGUCAAGUAUCGUGGCAUUGUGAGCGGGUCUUUCCGUGAUUUCCCGUGGGCACAGCCGACAUCAGCGUGGUGAUUCGUUGCUGCGAGGAUGUGUCUAAACCGCUCACCUUAUCUCGCCGGCAGGAGUUUUGUGUUUUUCCGAAUUCGGACACUCGGCUAUGGUGGUUGCUGUCUUUAGGUGGUUUCGUAGCGUAUGCCGUAAUGGGCGAGGUAGCAUAGGUGCAGGCACCCUAUAGGUGUUCACCUUUACAUUAUAUUGUUCCAUCAUGGCUGCGAUACGGAAUGGGAUGUGUUGUGUGCUUCGUGUUUUGUGAAAAUUUUUUCGAUUUUUUUAUUUUUCCUGAAAAUUUUACAUCUCACUCGUUAAUUAGAGUGUGGUGAACAAAGUGAGAUAAUAAUCAAUACUGGGGAUUAAUUAAUUACUCUAUAAUUAGUGAAAAUGAAUAGUGCUAUGUAAUUUUCCGGAGGUUAUGUUCAUUUUUGCGGAAGUGGCAUUUUAUAUUCUAUGGACGAACGGUGAAUUUAACUGAUAAUUUCAGUUGCAAGACGGAAGUGGAUUUGCAUCUAAAUUCACGCCGUACUGUGAUUGGCUGUUGGAUUAGACAAAAGCAUUUGUAAUGUUAUGAGUGCACCUUAUUUAUUUUUUGACAGUUGGCGCACAUGCGUUACUCCUAACCUCAAUUCUUAAAAGCGUGGGAAACGUACGGAAGUUCAGGCAUCGCUCUGCAGACCUUGUCGCCCGAGGCUUCAGGCACGGCUCUACAGAUCUUUUCGCCCGUUGUGAUACUGUAUGAUACUUUUUCUUCUCGAAAAAUAUGGAAAACAGUGUUUAGACCAAUAAUGAAAACAGGCGUAAUUCUUAAGCAUAAUUUUGAUGAACGCUGAGCAUGGAAUUAUGAUCAGAAAAUUUAUAUAGUGGAGGAAUGAAUUGAUUGACACGGUUGUUCAUCAUGCAGCUAAUGGAAGAGAAGUUGUUCUGUUUUAGAUUAUUAAUGCACAAUUAAUGGAGUGAUGGAUGAAUCAAUCUUUGUUUCGAUAAAAUAAAAAAAGUGAAAUCGAUUUAGAGUUUUAUUGUUAAUUUGCAUUCGUUUGUAUUUUUAAGCUUCCAUAGACUAUACUUUAUAUGUGAAACAUCCAAUUGAAUUAAAUUCAUUAUCUGUCUCUUAAUCAAUAAGUAAUUAUCGCGUAUUAGAAUCAAUGCACCAUGGAAGACGAUCAAGAAUCUAAGUAUAUUUCUUCUAUAGAACAAUAAUAUCAAUCUACUGCAACUUCAACCUACUUCAUUUUCAAUUUACUUUGAUGUAAAUCUAUCUUAUUUUUGACUUAUUACGAGUCAAUCUACUCUAAUUUCAACCUAUAAUAAGGAUGAAUGUUUUGGACCGUGGAAUUUCUUAAAUAAGUGGAUGAUCUGGGCGGUUCCAGUGGUAUGCCUUGGCAAAGCGUAUCUGUAUCUAUUGUAUCACGUUGACUGCCGUGGGGGUAACCGAUGACCGGCACUCGACUUGGCUACAGCGCCGUGGAGGCCACUGGUGACCACCGGCGCGACGAAUGAUGAAAAUACAUAAUUAGGGUAAACAUCGAUCUAAUAAAUUUUUUAAAUAAUACCAUUGAUUCCGUAGUGGUUUAAAGAAAUUAAUGCCUUACAGAACAUGUAAUUAUAAUUUUAUCAAUACAAGGAAAAUAUACAUGUUAUUUGUGCACAUAACGAUGAAUCACAUUGAUACACGGUAAGCAAAGAAAAAAUGAACUAGGACAGUC